rnacentral:rRNA from 1 species
AGCGAACGUUAGCGGCGCGCCUAACACAUGCAAGUCGCACGAGAAAGGGAGCAAUCCCCGGUACAGUGGCGCACGGGUGAGUAACACGUAGAUGACCUUCCCUGGAGUGGUGGAUAACCUGCCGAAAGGCGGGCUAAUACAGCAUGGGACCACAUGGUUUUGACCGAGUGGUGAAAGCGGGCCUCUGUUCACAAGCUCGCGCUCUGGGAUGGGUCUGCGUCCCAUCAGCUAGUUGGUGAGGUAAUGGCUCACCAAGGCAUCGACGGGUAGCUGGUCUGAGAGGAUGACCAGCCACACUGGAACUGAGACACGGUCCAGACUCCUAUGGGAGGCAGCAGUGGGGAAUCUUGCGCAAUGGGCGAAAGCCUGACGCAGCGACGCCGCGUGGGUGAUGAAGGCC